rnacentral:lncRNA from 1 species
UUGCAGGUCCAGGGACUCCCAAACCAUCUUUCCCACAUCACAGACAAUGUUUUCCCAUCUCCAGAGCAGUGUCUUGGCCCAUCCCUAUAGCCCAGAACACUCCACUUCCACCCACUGCAUGGUAUAAGUACAGUCAAACUCCCCCACAUUCUGUCUCUCCAAGCAGCAGUGCUUGGUGGUGGAGCAGACACUAACCUACAACCCUACACACUGUAGUCAUAGAACAUAGAGGAAUUAAGCUGGUACUUACCUUAAGGAUUCAUCCAUACUGGAUAGGUAUCACACUACUAGAAAGUGCUAAACACACUACCAAAACAAAAGAAAAGCAGUCAGCAGUCUUACCAGAUGUAAACCUAGCAAGAUAUGUCUCCUGCUACAAUUGCAGUCUGAAUGUUGUAGAAUUAACUAAUAAUUUAUGAUUAAAUUUAAGACUGUCUACAACAUUCAACUCAUGACUUGCACCAUUGACAGGGCCAACAACCCAAGGGCUAUGUACUGAUAAGUUAAGAACCUACUCUUAUUAUUGUGCCAAAGGAAAAUCAACUCUCAAAUAUAUAAUGUCAUAUCCACUGAUUAAUGGAGCUGCCAUUCCUAAUCCAAGAAGCUUGUUUUUGCAACAGAUUUCAAUUACAAUAGAGACCCAUGACUGUUCAUCCUGAAGAGUACAGGAGGCAGUGGAAUUCUCAACAUGAAAUGGGCCAUCUAUGUCAUACUCCUACACACAAGGUUCAGGGAUCACCACUGAAGAGGGAGCAGAAAGGUUUUAAGGGUGUUGAGUAACUACUUGGAAGUAGUAUUUUUCUGGAUGCGAAGCGUUAUGGAGUUUAUUAAUUGUUCAUGAUGGAAGAUGUUAGUAUUUGAAUGUAAAUUUUUCUUACUCCAAGCUUAUUCUAAUAUAUCAAAAUAUUUGGUUAGUAAAUACAAACUAGAUGAAGUUGAAAGUCAGCUUUAUAGUCUUUCUAUGCUUAGAGGCAGCAGUGGUGAUUUUCAUUCUCUUCUAUUAGACUAGAUUCUAUGUGAAUCACCUGAUUUUGAAUUCCAUGCUUUAGUUUGCAACAUUAUUGAUCCUUGGAAUUUGGCAGUUGAAAGGUACUACAGUAGGGAUGGUCAGGUUCCUUAUGAAAAGUACCACUAGUGAGAUUGCUCAUGCUCAUAAGGACAGCAUUCACUGGAUCCAGUAGGUUAUAAGGGAAAAGUUAGAGGGGAAGUAAGGAGAUGGUAUGAUAAAAAUGCAUUUUACACACAUAUGAAAUUGUGAAAGAACAUAUUUUAACAACCUCACAGUCAGUGUACGCCAGCAGCAGGGUCAGAAAUGUGGUAACUUUUAACUUCUUGUGAAAAUUGCUCUGUUCCUGCUACAUCUGACUCCCUUAAUAAUUUUGUAUUUGAUAAUUUACUUAGACUUUAAUUUUGGUGUAGUCCCCAGAGUGGAUUACAUGAUUUUAAGUUCAUGAUCAAGUUUUUAGAUUGUCCUUUAAAUUUUUUUAUUUCUGUAUUAUUUUCAUAUUGAAUGAAGAAUAGUAUGUUGCAAUUUUUUCAUUCAAUAUGUGUUAUUGAUACUACAUGUUCUUUACAAAAUACUUAAUAAUUCCAUGCAAAAUGACUCACUAUGGAAACCCACUAGCAAAACACUCUCUUCCCAUUGUAAUCAAGCUCACAUAUAGGACAAAUGUGUGUAUCUGAGCACAUUAUGAGUUCAGGGCUGGCUAAUGCAACUCUGAGCCCUUGUUUUUACUCUCAAUCACAAAAGUGACAAUAAUUCAUUUAAAAGUAUAGAGUUUACACUUGUUUUAUAAGAUUCCACAAAACUCAAUCCUCUGUACUGUAUUGGCAUUACAAGUUGAGUGAGAAGUCAUACACAGAAUGAUUUUUAAGUUGUGAACAGCUGAAAACUGUUUGGAAAAAACUCAAGGAUGAAUCCAUUUCUUCUAUAGCCAUAAGCAAGGAUGAGAAAAAAGAACUAAAAGAAAUGAAGCCAUAAGUCACAUUUGUCUUCAGAAAAAGAAUGUUGAACGAUUACAAUAGACCUCUCGGAAGAAAAAGCUCAGAUGCAGCUCUGUACAGACAUGCUGGGCCUGGUAUCAGAUGCUUCAGCAGAGGAGAGUGCUCC